UACAGAUAAUAAUAAUAAUAAUAAUAAUAAUAAUAAUAAUAAUAAUAAUAAUAAUAAGCCUUGCUGUGGACUCAUCUUGUUGUGUUUCUAAUAAUAAUAACAAUAAUAAUAAUAAUAAUAAUAAUAAUAAUAAUAAUAAUAAUAAUAAUAAUAAUAAUAUUGCAUGGAAAGUUCCUUGACAAAAUUGAAGAAAAAGCUGAUAAGGAAAAGACCUGGUUAUGGCUCACGAAUUGGACACUGAAGAAGGAGACAGAAGGCCUGAUCCUUGCAGCCCAGGAGCAAGACAUCAGGACAAAGGCAAUUCAGGCCAAGAUCGAAAAAUCAGCUGAUGACCCAAAAUGCAGACUGUGCAAGGAAGCUGACGAAACCAUGGAUCAUAUCCUCAGCUGCUACAGACUACAAACAGAGGCACAACUGUGUGGCCCAAAUGAUCCAUUGGAACUUAUGCGUCAAGUACCACCUCCCAGCAGCAAAGAACUGGUGGGAUCACAAACCUGCAAAGAUCGUGGAAAAUGAACACGCAAAGAUACUGUGGGACUUCCGAAUCCAGACUGACAAAGUUCUGGAACACAACACACCAGAUAUCACAGUGGUGGAAAAGAACAAGGUUUGGAUAAUUGAUGUCGCCAUCCCAGGUGACAGUCGCAUUGAUGAAAAACAACAGGAAAAACUCAGCCGCUAUCAGGACCUCAAGAUUGAACUUCAAAGACUCUGGCAGAAACCAGUGCAGGUGGUCCCGGUGGUGAUGGGCACACUGGGUGCCGUGCCAAAAGAUCUCAGCCGGCAUUUGGAAACAAUAGACAUUGACAAAAUUACGAUCUGUCAACUGCAAAAGGCCACCCUACUGGGAUCUGCACGCAUCAUCCGAAAAUACAUCACACAGUCCUAGACACUUGGGAAAUGUUUGACUUGUGACAAAGGAUCCCCCAGGCAGGAAGCAGCCAGGCAAUAAUAAUAAUAAUAAUAAUAAUAAUAAUAAUAAUAAUAAUAAUAAUAAUAAUAAGUUGUUUAUUUAUAACCCACCUCCAUCUCCCCCGAAGGGGACUCAGGGCGGCUCACAGAUAAUAUCAGAUAAAAAACAGUGACAAUAAACAAUACAUCAGUAAACAAAACAUACACCAAUUAUAAAAUUUAAACAUUAACCUAUGAAAAUAAAAACACACUGAAUAAAACACGGAAUUAAAAACAGUGAAGCUGAGUAAUAGACUAACUAAAGUGCACUUUGUUAUAAGUUGUAAACUCAAGAUAACAGAUAAAGUGCUACAAAUUCAUUGGAGGUCAAUUUGGGAUGGGAAGGACCCUAAGUUAAUAUCAAAAUUGACCAGGAGAAGUGCGACCGAUACAGGAAAGGUCAAGGAACAUAAUUAAUU
rnacentral:lncRNA from 1 species